rnacentral:rRNA from 1 species
UACGAGGGGGGCAAGCGUUGUUCGGAAUUGUUGGGCGUAAAGGGUGCGUAGGCGGUCUGACAAGUCUGAUGUGAAAUCUAUGGGCUCAACCCAUAGUCUGCAUCGGAAACUGUCGGGCUUGAGUAUGGGAGAGGUGAGUGGAAUUUCCGGUGUAGCGGUGAAAUGCGUAGAUAUCGCAAGGAACACCUGUGGCGAAAGCGGCUCACUGGACCAUUACUGACGCUGAUGCACGAAAGCUAGGGGAGCAAACAGG